AUACCAUACAUAGAAGUCGCUAAAAGUUUAUGGAAGAGUAUUAAAGAAAAUUUUUCGGUCUCCGACAGUCCAAGAAUAUAGCAGUUGAAGGCCGAAGUAGAGUACAAAUAAAAGUUCAUUACCAUUGUUAAUUACUAUACAAAAAUCUGCGAAGAACUUGCUAAUUUUGAUCAAAUACCGACUUGCACAGGGAGGUCGAACUUACUCGGUCAAGAUCCAUUGCCAACUUUGAAUCGAUUUUACUUGAAGUUGGUACAAGACAAAUGUG
rnacentral:lncRNA from 1 species